GCUCCCUCUAUUAUGCUUGUUUUGCUUAAUAUGCAGGAAAUAUUUGCAGUUUUUAAUGGUGCUUAAGUGCAGGAUUUCUUCAGUUUACAAAGCAGCUUCAGAUCCUUGUGACUCCAGCCCACGUUUUCUCUCCAGCUUUUUUGUAGGCAUGUAAACGGGGAAUUCAGGCUUCACACCGGAGGAUGUCUCUGUACAGAAAGAUUCAGCUAAGAGAAUGGGAGCACAGGAGGGAACAGCUUCUUCCAGGAUCACCAGAGAAAAUACCCAGCAACAGCAGCCCCACAAACAAGGCAGCACACUCACCAUCACCUGAGUCUGCCUUCUUCUACACCCAGCCUGCCUGCUGCUGCUACUGUUACUCAGAGGGCUGUGCACAGCUGCUUGGAGAGGAGAGGUGGUACUGAGCUGGAAGUGGGAAGCUUGGAUACAGAGUGGGGAUGUGUGAUAGGGAAAUCAGAUCUCUCUACUGCCGCUGCCGAUGGUGAUGAUCAUCUAGUCCAGCUCUGUUUAGGGUGAAUAUCAGGAGUUCAGGGAAGUGCGGUCAGCAAGCUUUGCCGCAUUGUCAAUUCCCCUGCAUUAGUCACUUUCUACAUUAACACUUGUCUUGCGUUAAUAAUGAAGAAUCUGCUGGGGAGAGAGAUGAAGGUUUGAUUUGCAAUGGAUAGUUAUCAUUGUCUUCUCCAUUGAGGAUAUCGGAGGCUCCACUGCUGUAUACAUUGAUUAUAUUAUUAUUAAUAUUAGUAUAGUG